AUUGAACGCUGGCGGCAUGCCUUACACAUGCAAGUCGAACGGUAACGCGGGGCAACCUGGCGACGAGUGGCGAACGGGUGAGUAAUGCAUCGGAACGUGCCCAGUUGUGGGGGAUAACUGCUCGAAAGAGCAGCUAAUACCGCAUACGACCUGAGGGUGAAAGCGGGGGAUCGCAAGACCUCGCGCAAUUGGCGCGGCCGAUGUCGGAUUAGCUAGUUGGUGGGGUAAAGGCCCACCAAGGCGACGAUCCGUAGCUGGUCUAAGAGGACGACCAGCCACACUGGGACUGAGACACGGCCCAGACUCCUACGGGAGGCAGCAGUGGGGAAUUUUGGACAAUGGACGCAAGUCUGAUCCAGCCAUGCCGCGUGCGGGAAGAAGGCCUUCGGGUUGUAAACCGCUUUUGUCAGGGAAGAAAUCUUCUGGGUUAAUACCUCGGGAGGAUGACGGUACCUGAAGAAUAAGCACCGGCUAACUACGUGCCAGCCGCCGCAGUAACAC
rnacentral:rRNA from 1 species